GCCCGCCGGUUCGCAUCAAUCGCGACCAUCCACGGCCGCAGUAGCUCCAUAGAACACAGCUCCUGGGGGUCGCCAUCUUGACAGAACUCACCAAGAAUGAGGAGAGCGCAAGGCGAGUUCCCAAUCACCUCUCAGCAGCCAUGUCUCAAUCCUGCCAGCCAGUAGUACAACUACAACUGGCAAGUAAUUCUUGUUUUUGGCUUUGGAACCGGAAAAAUCCUCAAGGCUGGCUUGGAGCUCACCAUCCUCCUGUCUCAGCCUCUCCAGUGCUGAUUGUAAUAUCAUGUGCCACUCCACUCAAAUUUGCUUGAUCUUUAAAAUGCAGAUUCCUACCUAGCAAGAGUGAGGCCCUGGGUUGAAUACCCAGUACCAAGAUGCAAUGGGGAGUAAAAUUCCCCGGCCCGGACUACCAGUGAUUUUUAAUGAGUAUAUCUGGCACUGAUAUAGGACCUCUAAAUGAUAGAAAGGAAAUAAAACUCUCAACUUGUUGGAUGUCUGAUAUGCUGAGUUUGUGUCCCCCAAAAUCAAACAAUGAAUUUUAAGGAAAAACAAUAGUAAAUUUUAUUG